rnacentral:lncRNA from 1 species
GUUGGAUGUUUGGGGUUUCCUAGGGCUCUAGAUCAAGAAGAAAAAGGGAGAAGAAUGGAGAAGAAUGGUUCUUCUUUUGGAUCUUUCUUUUGAAUUUUUCUAAAGUAUGAGAAUCUAUGUUAUUUUCUAUAUAAAAAAUUAGAUUAGAUCUAAUUUUUAUCAUAAAAAAUUAAAAAAAAAAUUCUUCUUAAAGGUGUGAAAGGAAGAGAGAAAGAUUCUCUCUAGUGCAUAGGAGAAUUGAGA